rnacentral:rRNA from 1 species
CUAAGCUAACGCGGUAAGCGAGCCGCCUGGGUAGUACGAUCGCAAGAUUAAAACUCAAAGGAAUAGACGGGGACUCGCACAAGCGGUGGAUUAUGUGGCUCAAUUCGAUGAUAAACGAAGAACCUUACCAAGGUUAGAAAUCUAGGUGAAGACACGCAGAAACGUGUGUCGUCCGCAAGGACAGUUAGACAGGUGAUGCAUGGCCGUCGUCAGUUCGUGAUUUGAAUUGUUCCCUUAAGUGGGGUAACGAACGCAACCCUCGUAGCCAGUUAUAAGUGUCUGGCGAGACUGCCCCCGCUUGAGUUCACUUCCGAAGAAGUAAUUUACAAUUUUCAGUUUCCAAUUUUCAUUGGAAAUUCUAAAUUGCAAAUUGAAAAUUUCGCGAAGCGAGUUCCAGCGGGGGAGGAAGGCGAGGAUGACGCCAGGUCAGCAUGUCCCUUGAUACCUUGGGCCACACGCAUAAUACAAUCGCAUCUACAACGGGUCGCGACGGGGUAACCCUGAGCUAAUCCUAAUAAAAGGUGCGUCAGUUCGGAUUGGGGGCUGAAACUCGACCCCAUGAAGUUGGAAUUGCUAGUAAUCGCGGGUCAGCUAUACCGCGGUGAAUACGUUCUCAAGUCUUGUACUCACAAUAAAAGCGCGCAGCAGCGCAUACAUCUAAGUG